rnacentral:rRNA from 1 species
UACGAAGGGGGCUAGCGUUGCUCGGAAUCACUGGGCGUAAAGCGCACGUAGGCGGCUUUCUAAGUCAGGGGUGAAAUCCUGGAGCUCAACUCCAGAACUGCCUUUGAUACUGGAGAGCUUGAGUCCGGGAGAGGUGAGUGGAACUCCGAGUGUAGAGGUGAAAUUCGUAGGUAUUCGGAAGAACACCAGUGGCGAAGGCGGCUCACUGGCCCGGUACUGACGCUGAGGUGCGAAAGCGUGGGGAGCAAACAGG